GACGGAGGGUGCAAGCGUUGUUCGGAAUUACUGGGCGUAAAGGGCGCGUAGGCGGUCUGUUAAGUUCGGUGUGAAAGCCCCCGGCUCACCUGGGGAACUGCGCCGGAAACCGACAGACUCGAGUACCGGAGAGGAGGGUGGAAUUCCUGGUGUAGCGGUGAAAUGCGUAGAUAUCAGGAGGAACACCGGUGGCGAAGGCGACCACCUGGACUGAUACUGACACUGAGGUGCGAAAGCGUGGGGAGCAAACAGG
rnacentral:rRNA from 1 species